CUACGGGAGGCACCAGUGGGGAAUAUUGGACAAUGGGGGCAACCCUGAUCCAGCAAUACCGCGUGUGUGAAGAAGGGAGGAGGGGUGUGGGGAACGGGCAGGGGGGAGGAGGGGGGGGAGGGGGAAGAGAAGUGGAGAUUGAAGAGAAGGAAAGAAGAAGCACCGGCUAGCUCAGUGCCAGCAGCCGCGGUAAUACUGAGGGUGCAAGCGUUAAUCGGAAUUACUGGGCGUAAAGCGCGCGUAGGUGGUUAGAUCAGUUGGGUGUGAAAGCCCCGGGCUCAACCUGGGAAUUGCAUCCAAUACUGUCUGGCUAGAGUAUGGUAGAGGGAAGUGGAAUUCCGCAUGUAGCGGUGAAAUGCGUAGAGAUGCGGAGGAACACCAGUGGCGAAGGCGACUUUCUGGACCAAUACUGACACUGAGGUGCGAAAGCGUGGGGAGCAAACAGGAUUAGAUACCCUUGUAGCC
rnacentral:rRNA from 1 species